rnacentral:rRNA from 1 species
AACGAACGCUGGCGGCGUGCCUAACACAUGCAAGUCGAACGUGAUUGGAAGCUUGCUUCCAUGAAAGUGGCGCACGGGUGAGUAACGCGUAGAUAAUCUACCUGAUGGAUCGGGAUAACACUUCGAAAGGGGUGCUAAUACCGGAUAAGCCCACGGAGUCCUUGGACACUGCGGGAAAAGGGGGGGAUCUUCGGACCUUCCGUCAUCAGAUGAGUCUGCGUACCAUUAGCUAGUUGGUAGGGUAAAGGCCUACCAAGGCGACGAUGGUUAGCUGGUCUGAGAGGGUAAUCAGCCACACUGGAACGGAGACACGGUCCAGAAUCCUACGGAAGGCAGCAGGGGGGAAUUUUGCGCAAGGGGGGAAACCCUGACGCAGCAACGCCGCGUGAGUGAUGAAGGCCCUUGGGUCGUAAACUGCUUUUAUUUGGGAAUAAACCUCUUUACGUGUAGAGAGCUGAAGGUACCAAAUGAAUAAGCACCGGCUAACUCCGUGCCAGCAGCCGCGGUAA